rnacentral:piRNA from 1 species
UGGAUAACAGGUCGGAGUGUCUGGCAAAG